rnacentral:rRNA from 1 species
AAAGAGCUAAAUAAUUAAUAAAGUUAUUGUGGUAAAAUUAUUUUUAAUAAUUAUUUUGAAAUGAAAUGUUAUUCGUUUUUAAAUAUAUCUAGUUUUUUUAGAAAAAAAUUUAAUUUUAAAUUUAAUUUUAAUAUUAAUUAAUUAAUUAAUUUUUAUUUAAUUAAUUUUUAUAUUUUAGGGGAUAAGCUUUAAAUUACCCAUUUAUAAAAUAAUUUUUUGUUUUUAAAAAUUUUAUAAUUUAUAUUGUUAAUAAAUUGUAUUUUAUUAUAAAUAAUUUUAAAAUAAAUAAAAUUUAAUUUAAUUUUUAAUUUUGUAUAGAAAAAUAAUUUUAAAUUUAAUAAAUUUAAAAAUAAUGAUAAAAUUAGUAUAUUUAUUUUAUUUAUUUAGAAAUUUUAUUAGAUAAUUUAAUUAAUUAAAAGGAAUUCGGCAAAUAUUUAUAUUCACUUGUUUAACAAAAACAUGUCUUUUUGAAUUUAAUUUAAAGUCUAAUCUGCCCACUGAUUUAUAAAUUAAAGGGCUGCAGUAUUUUGACUGUACAAAGGUAGCAUAAUCAUUAGUCUCUUAAUUGGUGACUUGUAUGAAAGAUUGAAUGAAAUAUAUACUGUCUCUUAAUUAAUAUAUAGAAUUUAAUUUUUUAUUUAAAAAGUUAAAAUGAUUUAAAAAGACGAGAAGACCCUAUAGAGUUUUAUAAAUAAAUUUAUUAAUUUAAUUAUUUAUAUUUAUUAAAAUUAUUAUAAUUUUAUUUAUUUUAUUGGGGUGAUAAAGAAAUAAAAUUAACUUUUUUUAAAUUAAAACAUAAAUAAGUGAAUAAAUGAUCCAUUAAUAUUGAUUAUAAGAUUAAAUUACCUUAGGGAUAACAGCGUAAUUUUUUUUUUUAGUUCAAAUAAGAAAAAGAGUUUGCGACCUCGAUGUUGGAUUAAGAUAAAAUUUAAAUGCAAAAGUUUAAAAUUUUUG